rnacentral:tRNA from 1 species
GGACAGUUAGCUCAGUGGUUUGAGCACGGUGCUAACAGCAAUGAACAACAUCAAGGUCGAGGGUUCGAUUCCCGCUCGGUCCU